CCAGCGUGCUGCCCAGGGGCUUCACCAACAGCGCGUUAUUGUUCAGCGCCACUUCGCCCUGCGCAUCGGUAUGCCCGCCGUUGAGGGGAAUAUCAAGAUGUAAGCGCCCACUGACAUCACCCUUGACCUGCAGUUGAUCCAGCGCCGAGCCAACCGAUUUCGCCAACGGCGUUUGUUUGAAAUAGUCAUGCACAUCCGGCCCGGCGCCGGCGAGUUCGGCAUCCACAAACAGCCGCUCUUGCUGAUAAUCCGGGAUCACCGCACUGAUAUCGCGCCCUUCCACCUUGCCCAACCGGGCCUGCGGCGCAUGCAUCCACAGGCCGUUGUUGGCAAAAUCGAGGUCAAUCGCCAGAUCGUUUAGCGCCGGCCAACCCGGCUGGAACUGGAAGGUGGCAUGGCGCAACGGCA
rnacentral:ncRNA from 1 species